rnacentral:rRNA from 1 species
AACGAACACUGGCGGCGUGGUUUAGGCAUGCAAGUCGAACGUGAAAGUUUCCUUCGGGAAAUGAGUAAAGUGGCGCACGGGUGAGUAACACGUAGAUGACCUUCCCUGGAGUGGUGGAUAACCUGCCGAAAGGCGGGCUAAUACAGCAUGGGACCACAUGGUUUUGACCGAGUGGUGAAAGCGGGCCUCUGUUCACAAGCUCGCGCUCUGGGAUGGGUCUGCGUCCCAUCAGCUAGUUGGUGAGGUAAUGGCUCACCAAGGCAUCGACGGGUAGCUGGUCUGAGAGGAUGACCAGCCACACUGGAACUGAGACACGGUCCAGACUCCUACGGGAGGCAGCAGUGGGGAAUCUUGCGCAAUGGGCGAAAGCCUGACGCAGCGACGCCGCGUGGGUGAUGAAGGCCUCGGUUG